rnacentral:rRNA from 1 species
AUUGAACGCUGGCGGCAGGCCUAACACAUGCAAGUCGAGCGGAUGAAGGGAGCUUGCUCCUGGAUUCAGCGGCGGACGGGUGAGUAAUGCCUAGGAAUCUGCCUGGUAGUGGGGGAUAACGUCCGGAAACGGGCGCUAAUACCGCAUACGUCCUGAGGGAGAAAGUGUGGGAUCUUCGGACCUCACGCUAUCAGAUGAGCCUAGGUCGGAUUAGCUAGUUGGUGGGGUAAAGGUCUACCAAGGCGACGAUCCGUAACUGGUCUGAGAGGAUGAUCAGUCACACUGGAACUGAGACACGGUCCAGACUCCUACGGGAGGCAGCAGUGGGGAAUAUUGGACAAUGGGCGAAAGCCUGAUCCAGCCAUGCCGCGUGUGUGAAGAAGGUCUUCGGAUUGUAAAGCACUUUAAGUUGGGAGGAAGGGCAGUAAGUUAAUACCUUGCUGUUUUGACGUUACCAACAGAAUAAGCACCGGCUAACUUCGUG